rnacentral:rRNA from 1 species
UACGUAGGUGACAAGCGUUGUCCGGAUUUACUGGGCGUAAAGAGCGCGCAGGCGGUCGAUCAAGUCGAGUGUGAAAGCCCCCGGCUCAACUGGGGAGGGUCAUUCGAUACUGAUCGACUCGAAGGCAGGAGAGGGUAGUGGAAUUCCCGGUGUAGUGGUGAAAUGCGUAGAUAUCGUGAGGAACACCAGAGGCGAAGGCGGUUACCUGGACAGUUACUGACGCUCAGGCACGAAAGCGUGGGGAGCAAAAGGG